UUUGCAGUAUUCGUAUAAAAUGCGGGGGAAAACACGAGGUCCCUUGAAACCCCGAAACCCUUGGCGGCCUUCUCCACCCGAGUCGGCGACGAUGGGCCAGGGACGGCGGCCGGCGAAGCGGCGCCGCCUCUCCAGGCUCCCUCCCCUCCUCCUCGCCUUCUCCCCCUUCGCCCGCUCCAUCCUUUUCGCCCGCUCCACCGCCCCCAAUUCCACCAAUCCCGAUCCCUCCCCUUCCUCCAGAACGACAGAGGUUGGAAUUGCCGAUCCUAAGCCACCCAAAGCAAUCAAACGAAUCGAGUCCUCCGAAGACGAGGAGGAAGAAGAAGUCGAGAUGGUGCAAGCUGAUUUCGAGUUCUUUGACCCCAAGCCCGGGGAUUUCCAUGGUGUGAAGCUUCUUCUCCAGAACUACCUUGAUAACAAGCCGUGGGAUCUCAGUGGCUUCGUGGACCUGAUCUUGGAGCAGACCACCGUCGGGACCGUCGUGAAAUCGGGCGACCAGGAUGAAGAGGAGGAAGGAGACGAUGAUGGAGGGAAUGAUGAUGAGGGUCUUUAUGCCGUGAUCAGUGCCCUAAACCUGGGGAGAUAUGCUGGACAUAGAUGCAUCAAGGAGCUCAAGCGGUUCCUUCUUGAAGUUUGCAGUGAUGACAGUACAAAGAAAAAGCUGAAAUUGCUGUUGGAACAGCAAGCAAGUGAUGUUGGUCUGUUGGUCUCGCAGCGGUUUGUGAACUGCCCCUACCAACUGGUGCCUCCACUUUAUGACGCGCUCUUUGAUGAGGUUUCAUGGGCAACAGAGGAUGAGCCCACACAGGAACUUCGAGAUUCGUUCCGCUUCAAAUACUAUAUCUUGGUUGCCAGAAUCUUUGAGCUGGCUGACAAUGACCCAAAGAAACAUGCUGCCUGUUAGCAAAAAUGUCAACCAAUACAAGGCAAAACAGAGCCAGGAUUGCGACGAACCUGUCAUUUAUAUAAAGGCAGAAGAUCAGAUUUUUCGUGAGCUCAGCUCGUUAUCUUUUACUUUUCAUCUGCAUGCUGAGCAGUUGGUUCCACCUGAGGUUGAGGCUGUACAGCAUCUAUGUCACCAUAAUUUGUUGAGAAGCAAAUAAUCAUUCUAACUGCAGUCAUGAAGAUUUUUUUUUCGAAAGAAACAAGGGCAAGCAAAAUGUUGUAGAGCAGUGAAUUCAGAUAAACACACAUCUAAGGGAGGGACUGAAGAAGUUUGGGGAGUUACAAACAAGGCCAUUUGAACACUAUCAGAUUCUGCACCAACAAGAUUUGUUUAUCAAAGUUGAAGAAUUACAAGGAGAUGGGACUAGUCAUGGUUGUAAAGGCUGAUGAUGUUCCCAAGUUCCGCGAGAAGUUAAAAUCAUUAGUAGUUGAAUCAUAACGCUAAAGGUGGUCUGGUUAGAUGGUAGGGCUAAACCUUGCUGGUCUGUUAUAACUGCAAGUGGUGAGAUUGUAUCGUGCACCCAAAAUGCAAAAUGCAGAGGUUCUCUUUUUGUACUUUAUUUUUAUUUAUUUAUUUUUUCUGGUUCCCUUCUGAUUUCAGGGGUUUCAGGGCUGUGCAUUGCUUUGUUUUGUGGGUUAAGGGGAUUGACAAAUUCAUUUCAGUUCAUUUGCUAUUAUACAGAUGUGAACCAUCAUUUUGGGUUUGAGGCUUUGCAGGAAAAUGUCAUGUUUUGCUUGCAAAUGUCGAAAAGAGAAAAGUUUUGAGGUCAUCAAACUUUUUUGUUCCGGCAGUAAUCUCCUUUUAUGAGUUAUUCCUCAGGAAUCUUUCAUAAUUUUGUACCUAAGUUAUAUUGUGAACAAAUUGAGGCAACUAUUUAAUUUGUUACUACGUGAGCCCGGACUUGUUUGUACAAACUAUCUCCAUCAUCAGCCAUUGUUGUACCUUGCAUGAGAAAAUUAAAGAUUUACCACCAGAAACAUCUGAUGUUA